rfam:Asian citrus Psyllid, Diaphorina citri - Florida Strain, whole genome shotgun sequence.
GCCUAGUUAGCUUAGUUGGUAGUGCGUCUGCCUUGUAAGCGCUAGGCCGUGGGUUCGAUUCCCGCCCGGGGCC